AGGCUUUUACCUAACUUAACUGUAUUUAGUAUUAAUGAUGCUGCAUUCUUUCCUCAGAAGCUAAAGUUUUUCAAAGACAUUUGUAGGGAGGACUUUGCAGCUAAUGAUUUCCUACGGCUGAACCAAAACCUGCCAGACUAAAGUUGAUUUGGGAGAGAAAGACGUUGUAAACUUAAUCAUCUUGACAUUCUUCAAUGAGUAAUUGUUCAAUUUUUAGGCAAAUACUGUACACUUUGAAUGCUGUGAAUAAAACUAUAUUUUAAAUAUAUUUAAAAUGAA